AAUUUAGCCUCAUCAAUAAAACAUUAAAGAUGCCAUUUGUUUGGAAAACUAAAAUCAACAAGUGGGAUAUAGCCUAAGGUGUAUUAUUUUGUUCACAUGUAUUACGCGAAUUUAAUUAAAACUAAUGACUGUAACAAAUGCCUGAAACGCGGAAUAGAGUCGAAAGCUAGACAGCAUUUGGUGGUCAAACCAUAUAAAAGACAUUUAUUGGACGUCUCGCACGUAUGCCUAUUCAGCAAAGAAGUGAAUAAUAUGUCAGAAAGAUUGCUGCUUUUAAAAAUAAUUACGACAUAAUACGCGUUUAAAAAGAGCAACCAGCACUGGCGUCUCCAGGUUGGCGAAAACUUUGCUCAGAUUUGGGUAACAGGAUAAGGUACUAAAAGUAACGUAGCCAGUAAACGAGUAAACGAGGACGGGACAGGACUAUUCUCAAGUUCAUUUUUAUGCUAAAAAUCUUAUGAAUGUGUAUAGCAGCUCAGCAUUUACAAAUGUGCAGUUAGUUAACUAUGUUAUGCAUUUCAUGAAUCAAGUAUAUAAUUACGGCUCAGUUCAGCUCGCUAGUCUAGUCACGGGAGGAUCCCCAAACCAAACCCACCGCAACUCACUCCACACCGGGCUUGAGCGCUGCACGUAAGCUAGGAGAAUCUCCUCCAGUGCGGUGUAUAUUUUUGUGUGCUGCAGGGAAACAGCUGGCUAUCUAUGUACCUGGCAUCGCAAAAUUGGCUGGAUUUUUACUCAUAGGAUUUAUAACAAUUACAACACUUUCAUUUUUCCUUUUUAAAUAGCUGGGUGCCAUUCGUGCCUGUUAAAUGGGGGUUAAGUGGCGGUAUGUUUUCGCUGCUGCCUGAUUUCCAUACUAGAAAAACAGGACCUGCGGUUGCUAUGGAGAAGCUGCGGCUGUCAGGCCGGGGUUAGGCCGCCUGAGCCUCGGACUGGAGUACUGAAGGCCCCUGAGAAAGGAGAGAGGAGUGGGGAACACCUACUGGAAUGAAAAGCCGUGGAAAUGGGACUGGAGUGACUCGCUGUCGAUGAGUAAUCGACAAUGGUUGUGGUCUGAACUAGGAAGGGGAACCAUUCCUUCAAGAAAAGUCCGUCGGCCCAAGGAGCGGACAGCCUCGUCUGGACUGAAGCUGUGAGGGGCUCGGGCAGAGCUUAAAAAUGCCCCCCAGACCGUCGUCAGGGGAACUAUGGGGCAUCCAUUUGAUGCCCCCGCGGAUUUUGGUGGACUGCCUUCUACCGAACGGCAUGAUCCUGACCCUGGAGUGCCUCCGUGAGGCUACGCUGAUCACCAUCAAACAUGAACUCUUCAAAGAGGCCAGGAAGUACCCGCUGCACCACCUGCUGCAGGAGGAGACCUCCUACAUCUUUGUGAGCGUGACCCAGGAGGCCGAGCGGGAGGAGUUCUAUGAUGAGACCAGGAGGCUCUGUGACCUGCGACUCUUUCAGCCUUUCCUGAAAGUCAUCGAGCCUGUGGGCAACCGAGAGGAGAAGAUCCUCAACCGCGAAAUCGGUUUCGCCAUUGGCAUGCCCGUGUGUGAGUUUGACCUGGUGAAGGACCCCGAGGUUCAGGACUUCAGGAGAAACAUUCUCAACGUCUGUAAGGACUCAGUGGACCUCCGCGAUGCCAGUGGGCCCCACAGCCGGGCUUUAUACGUUUACCCCCCCAACAUGGAGUCGACGCCGGACCUUCCGAAGCACAUAUACUGCAAACUAGACAAAGGUCAGAUAAUUGUGGUCAUCUGGGUCAUCGUCUCGCCCAACAAUGACAAGCAGAAGUACACGCUGAAGAUCAACCAUGACUGCGUGCCGGAGCAGGUGAUCGCCGAGGCCAUCCGGAAGAAGACGCGCAGCAUGCUGCUGUCGCCGGAGCAGCUGAAGAUGUGCGUGCAGGAGUACCAGGGAAAGUACAUCCUCAAAGUGUGCGGCUGCGACGAGUAUCUGCUGGAGAAGUGUCCCCUCAGCCAGUACAAGUAUGUGCGGAGCUGCAUCAUGCUCGGCCGCAUGCCCAACCUGAUGCUGAUGGCCAAGGAGAGCCUAUACUCCCAGCUGCCCAUGGACACCUUCACCAUGCCCUCCUACGCCCGCCGCAUCUCCACCGCUACGCCCUACAUGAACGGCGAGGCCUCCACCAAGUCCCUGUGGACCAUCAACGGCACGCUGCGCAUCCGCGUUCUGUGCGCCACCUACGUCAAUGUCAACAUCCGGGACAUCGAUAAGAUUUACGUUCGGACGGGGAUCUACCACGGAGGGGAGCAGAUGUGUGAUAAUGUGAACACUCAACGCGUCCCCUGCUCCAAUCCCAGGUGGAACGAGUGGCUGAACUACGACAUGUACAUUCCCGACAUCCCGCGAGCCGCCCGACUCUGUCUGUCCAUCUGCUCCGUCAAAGGGAGGAAAGGGGCGAAAGAGGAGCACUGUCCGCUGGCCUGGGGCAAUGUUAAUCUCUUUGACUACACGCAUACUCUGGUCUCAGGGAAAAUGGCGCUCAACCUGUGGCCUGUGCCCCACGGCCUGGAGGACCUGCUCAACCCCAUCGGGGUCACGGGCUCCAAUCCUAACAAGGAAACGCCCUGUUUGGAGCUGGAGUUUGAUUACUUCAGCAGCCCAGUGAAGUUUCCGGACAUGGCCACCAUAGAGGACCACGCUAACUGGAGCAUAUCCAGAGAACUGGGCUUCAACUACUGCCAUACUGGCCUGAGCAGCCGCCUGGCGCGAGACCACGCCCUGACGGACAGCGACAGUGAGCAGCUUCGCCUGGUCUGCAACAGAGACCCCCUGUCUGAGAUCACUGAGCAGGAGAAGGACUUCCUGUGGAGGCACAGACACUACUCUGUAAAUAUCCCAGAAAUCCUGCCUAAGAUCCUGCUGGCGGUCAAGUGGAACUCCAGAGAUGAAGUAGCCCAGAUGUACUGCCUUCUGAAGGACUGGCCGGCGAUAAAGCCUGAGCAGGCCAUGGAGCUGCUGGACUGUAACUACCCCGACCCCAUGAUCCGAGACUUCGCCGUUCGCUGCCUGGAGAAGUAUCUGACUGAUGACAAGCUGUCUCAGUACCUCAUUCAGCUGGUCCAGGUCCUAAAAUACGAGCAGUACCUGGACAACCCCCUGGUGCGAUUCCUACUGAAAAAGGCUUUGACCAAUCAGAGAAUAGGACAUUUCUUCUUCUGGCACUUGAAGUCCGAAAUGCACAAUAAGACGGUGAGCCAGCGCUUCGGCCUGCUGCUGGAGUCGUACUGCCGAGCCUGCGGAAUGUACCUGAAGCACCUGAGCAGGCAGGUGGAGGCCAUGGAGAAGCUCAUCAACCUGACCGACAUCCUGAAGCAGGAGAAGAAAGACGAGACGCAGAAGGUGCAGAUGAAGUUCCUGGUGGAGCAGAUGAGGAGGCCGGACUAUAUGGACGCCCUGCAGAACUUCACCUCCCCCCUCAACCCCGCACACCAGCUGGGCAACCUACGCCUGGAAGAAUGCCGGAUCAUGUCCUCCGCCAAGCGGCCGCUGUGGCUGAACUGGGAGAACCCCGACAUCAUGUCCGAGCUGCUCUUCCAGAACAAUGAGAUCAUCUUCAAGAACGGAGACGAUCUGCGGCAGGACAUGCUGACCCUUCAGAUCAUCCGAAUCAUGGAGAACAUCUGGCAGAACCAGGGCCUGGACCUCCGGAUGCUCCCGUACGGCUGUCUGUCCAUCGGGGACUGUGUGGGGCUCAUCGAGGUGGUGCGGAACUCUCACACCAUCAUGCAGAUUCAGUGCAAAGGAGGCCUGAAGGGGGCGCUGCAGUUCAACAGCCACACCCUCCACCAGUGGCUCAAAGACAAGAACAAGGGAGAGAUGUAUGAUCCUGCAGUGGAUCUGUUCACGCGCUCCUGUGCUGGGUACUGUGUGGCCACCUUCAUCCUGGGGAUCGGUGACCGGCACAACAGCAACAUCAUGGUGAAGGAUGAUGGACAGCUCUUCCACAUAGAUUUUGGCCAUUUCCUGGAUCACAAGAAGAAGAAAUUUGGCUAUAAGCGAGAGCGGGUUCCCUUUGUUUUAACACAGGACUUCUUAAUCGUGAUCAGCAAGGGAACGCAGGAGUGCACCAAGACUAGGGAGUUUGAGAGGUUUCAGGAGAUGUGCUACAAGGCCUACCUCGCCAUCCGCCAACACGCCAACCUCUUCAUCAACCUGUUCUCCAUGAUGCUGGGGUCCGGGAUGCCCGAGCUGCAGUCCUUCGACGACAUCGCAUACAUCCGCAAGACGCUGGCGCUGGACAAGACGGAGCAGGAGGCGCUCGACUACUUCAUGAAGCAGAUGAACGACGCUCACCACGGGGGCUGGACCACCAAGAUGGACUGGAUCUUCCACACCAUCCGCCAGCACGCGCUGAACUGAGCAUGCUUGGCCACGUCCCCCAGCGAGCGCUCGGCCACGCCCUCCAGCGAGCGCUCGGCCACACCCUCCACCGAGUGCUCAGCCACGCCCCUGAGUGCUUGGCCACACCCUCCAGCGAGCACUUGGCCAUGCCCUCCAUCAGGCGCUCAGCCACGCCCUCCCCGGAGUGCUUGGCCACGCCCUCUAGCGAGCGCUCGCCCACACCCUCCCCUGAGCGCUGAGCGACGCAGUUGGGCGGAAGCCUGGCGGCGGAGGCGAUUGGCUGAUCCCAGGUGGGCUCCGCCCUGUCCACAGACACGCCUUCGUUACGGCCUUCUUACCUCUCUGAUUGGCAGGAGUUUGGGUGGGGUGAUCGUCUUCCUCUGACGCCUUCAGAUAUGCACAGACACUCAAGCAGCUCACCCGUCUGUUCCUCUCGCUUUUCACUCGUUUGUCAUCAUAACACAACUCCAGUUAUCUGAGUGGGGCUUCUGGGAGGCUGUUGCUACGGCAAUGUGGGGGGUCCGGUGCAGUGUUGCAGCACGUGAGUGACAUCUAGUGCUGCUCACUGGUAUUGCAGAAGUGUGGAAGUGCACCCUGUUUAUGAAGCUCUAGCAGAGGAGUGCUCGGGGAAACAGGGAGACUUUCAGUGCGGAAUGUUUAGGUUCUGUGAGGCUGAGCUGUGGAGUCCUUGCCUGUGUGUGUGAGUGCACGCUGCGUGUGUGUGUGCAUGCUGCGUGUGUGCGUGUGUGUGUGCGUGUGCGUGUGCGUGUGUUUGUGCAGUCAUGCAGCAGAGCUCAGUGGCAGCAGGGCGCAGUGGCAGUCAUGCAGCAGAGCGCAGUGGCAGCAGAGCGCAGUGGCAGUCUGGCAGUGGAGUGCAGUGGCAGCAGGGCGCAGUGGCAGUCGUGCAGCAGAGCGCAGUGGCAGUAAUGCACUAGAGUGCAGUGGCAGCAGAGCGCAGUGGCAGCAGGGCGCAGUGGCAGUCGUGUAGCAGAGUGCAGUGGCAGCAGGGUGCAGUGGCAGUCAUGCAGCAGAGUGCAGUGGCAGCAGGGCACAGUGGCACUCAUGCAGCAGAGUGCAGUGGCAGUCGUGCAGCAGGGCGCAGUGGCAGCAGAGCGCAGUGGCAGCAGGGCGCAGUGGAAGUAAUGCAGCAGAGCGCAGUAGCAGUCGUGCAGCAGAGUGCAGUGGCAGCAGAGUGCAGUGGCAGUCGUGCAGCAGAGCGCAGUGGCAGCAGAGUGCAGUGGCAGUCGUGCAGCAGAGUGAAGUGGCAGCAGAGUGCAGUGGCAGUCGUGCAGCAGAGUGAAGUGGCAGCAGAGUGCAAUGGCAGUCGUGCAACAGGGCGCAGUUGCAGCAGAGCGCAGUGGCAGUAAUGCAGCAGAGCGCAGUAGCAGUCGUGCAGCAGAGUGAAGUGGCAGCAGAGCGCAGUAGCAGUCGUGCAACAGAGUGAAGUGGCAGUCGUGCAGCAGGGCGCAGUGGCAGCAGGGCGCAGUGGCAGCAGAGUGCAGUGGCAGUAAUGCAGCAGAGCGCAGUGACAUCAGUGCGCAGUACAGUCGUGCAGCAGAGCGCAGUGGCAGUCAUGCAGCUGUUGGGUGCAGUGGUAUCUGUAGUUUGGGGAAUGACUCCUGUCCUGAGGGAGGGGGGUAUAAGGAAGCUCAGCUGCACUGUGUAGGGAGUGUGAGUGAACAGAGCCCUGCACACACAGGUGUGCUCACAGGUUUAAUGUGCUGUUUCUGUGGUUCUCCAAUUAUAAAUGCUCAUGUUCCAAAAACAGCCAAAGCUGCCUCAAGAACCAGUCAUGAAGAUGUGUUUGUUUAGCGAUGAGCGGUCAGUUACUGUAGCCCCGCCGCGCCCCGCCCUGCCCUGCCCUUCCCCACCCCUCCCCUCCCUGGCUAGAGGGAAGCUGGGCUGUAUUACACAGAUUUGGGGGGGGGGUUACUGAGCUGGUGGGUUAGUUUGAGAGAGGUGUGUUUGGCUCUGCUUGUUAUCCUGGUGAGGUCUGGACCCCUUCUUAGAUCCAGUCCAAUUAAAUAAGGCUGAUGCACUCACUCACCCUGUGGGUGAGAGGGGAGUACUGCAGUCCUGUAGCCCGAUUCUACAGCCUCAUUUACCUGUCUCCUGAGAGACCUGUCUUUAUGGAACCGCAUUACCCAUGAGCCUCUGGAAUAUUCCUGCUGUUCCGACACCUGCCAGGUGUGUCCUCGAGCAGCGGGCGUGUUAACGUGUUCACCUAACCCUAACCCCAACCCCAACUGUUAAAGCUGCUAAGUUCCCAUCAUCUCUUCAGAUUUAUUCUGUUGAGGGUAAAAUGGACUUUAUUUAAACUGAGAUGAACUGGUGGAAUAUUAAGAAUGUUGAUUAACUUUGUGUCUUAUGUUUUUCUGGUGUGAAAGGGCAUUUUUACAAUCGUGUUCUUUGACCCUUUUUGCCAUAAUCUUGUAUUUUUCACACCUCGCAUGAAUUCCCCCCUGCCUGGGGUUCUCCUGGCCUGUGCAAUCCCUACAGAACUGUGCCUGUCUCUACAGAAGCUCAUUUAAUCAUGUCUGUUUGAGUUUGAGAACUGCAUUAAAAGCACAUGGCAAUACGCUGAUGUACUUACAGGCUUAAAGCUGAAUACAUCCCUGUAUGGACUGCAUCAGGUUUAUGAGACUUAGUCUCUUCACUGAUUGGCUGGAAAGGCCUCCAGUCAUGCUGUGAUUGGCUGGAAGAGGCCUGCAGCCAUGCUGUCUAAAAGAGAGCCAUGUGUCAUUUUAAAUUACUGAUUAAUUUAAAACCAUGUAAUGCUGUACAUUUUUACUGUGACAGUUAAAGCCAAAGUACACAGUAUUUAUCUAUAGCAAACCUUGUAUGUGAUGACUAACCUAUGUCUAUGUUACCAUGGAAAAACCCAGCAUUAUGAACACAUCAUUUUUCCCCAAACCAACAGCAUUAAAGUGUAUAUAUUACCUCCUAAAGAUGUUACACUACAGCUGAAUCACUGAAGAGUGAAAGCACCCUUAAGACCCGCCCCUCCCAUGUCCCACCCACCC